rnacentral:rRNA from 1 species
CGGAGGGUGCGAGCGUUGUCCGGAAUCACUGGGCGUAAAGGGCGCGUAGGCGGCGCGGGCAGUCAACGGUGAAAGCUUGGGGCUCAACCCCGAGUCGGCCGUCGAUACUCCCGUGCUGGAGCACUGUAGAGGCAGGUGGAAUUCCGGGUGUAGCGGUGGAAUGCGUAGAGAUCCGGAAGAACACCGGUGGCGAAGGCGGCCUGCUGGGCAGUAGCUGACGCUGAUGCGCGACAGCGUGGGGAGCAAACAGGAUUAGAUACCCUGGUAGUCCACGCCGUAAACGAUGGGCACUAGGUGCUUGGGGGAGCGACCCUCUGAGUGCCGGCGCUAACGCAUUAAGUGCCCCGCCUGGGGAGUACGGCCGCAAGGCUG